rnacentral:rRNA from 1 species
AGCAGCCGCGGUAAUUCCAGCUCCAAUAGCGUAUAUUAAAGUUGUUGCAGUUAAAAAGCUCGUAGUUGAAUUUCGGGGUCAGUAGGUCGGUCGUGCCACUGGUAUGAACUGGUUUUACUGAUUCCUCCCUCUUGAAGAACUGUAAUGCCAUUAAUUUGGUGUUGCAGGGAAUCAGGACUGUUACUUUAGAAGAAAUUAGAGUGUUUAAAGCAGGCUUUAGCUUGAAUACAUUAGCAUGGAAUAAUGAAAUAGGACGUUUGAUCCUAUUUUGUUGGUUUCUAGGAUUGACGUAAUGAUUAAUAGAGAUAGUUGGGGCUUAGUAUUCAAUUGUCAGAGUGAAAUUCUUGGAUUUAUUGAAGACUAACUACUGCGAAAAGCAAUUUGCCAAGGAUGUUUUCAUUAAUCAAGAACGAAAGUUAGGGAUCGAAGACGAUCGAAAUACCGUCGUAGUCUUAACCGUAAACUAUACGCCGACUAGGGAUCGGAUGAUGUUAAUUUUUANGUACUNAUUCGGCUCCUU